rnacentral:rRNA from 1 species
GACGAACGCUGGCGGCGUGCUUAACACAUGCAAGUCGAACGGAAAGGCCCUGCUUUUGUGGGGUGCUCGAGUGGCGAACGGGUGAGUAACACGUGAGUAACCUGCCCUUGACUUUGGGAUAACUUCAGGAAACUGGGGCUAAUACCGGAUAGGAGAUCCUGCUGCAUGGUGGGGGUUGGAACGUUUCGGCGGUUGGGGAUGGACUCGCGGCUUAUCAGCUUGUUGGUGGGGUAGUGGCUUACCAAGGCGUUGACGGGUCGCCGGCCUGGGAGGGUGACCGGCCACAUUGGGACUGAGGUAGGGCCCAGUCUCCUACGGGAGGCAGCAGUGGGGAAUAUUGCACAGUGAGCGGAAGCCUGAGGCGGCAACGCCGCGUGCGGGAUGACGGCCUUCUGGGUAUAAACCGCUUUCGCCUGUGACGAAGCGUGAGUGACGGUAAUGGGUAAAGAAGCACCGGCUAACUACGUG